rnacentral:rRNA from 1 species
UAGGGAAUCUUCCGCAAUGGGCGAAAGCCUGACGGAGCAACGCCGCGUGAGUGAUGAAGGUCUUCGGAUCGUAAAACUCUGUUAUUAGGGAAGAACAAAUGUGUAAGUAACUAUGCACGUCUUGACGGUACCUAAUCAGAAAGCCACGGCUAACUACGUGCCAGCAGCCGCGGUAAUACGUAGGUGGCAAGCGUUAUCCGGAAUUAUUGGGCGUAAAGCGCGCGUAGGCGGUUUUUUAAGUCUGAUGUGAAAGCCCACGGCUCAACCGUGGAGGGUCAUUGGAAACUGGAAAACUUGAGUGCAGAAGAGGAAAGUGGAAUUCCAUGUGUAGCAGUGAAAUGCGCAGAGAUAUGGAGGAACACCAGUGGCGAAGGCGACUCUCUGGUCUGUAACUGACGCUGAUGUGCGAAAGCGUGGGGAUCAAACAGG